GGACCCGCACAAGCGGUGGAGCAUGUGGUUUAAUUCGAUGCAACGCGAAAAACCUUACCUACUCUUGACAUACUUGGAAGCUCUUGUAAUGAGAGUGUGCCUUUUGGAGCCAAGAUACAGGUGCUGCAUGGCUGUCGUCAGCUCGUGUCGUGAGAUGUUCCGUUAAGUCGGAUAACGAGCGCAACCCUUACCCUUAUUUGCCAGCGAUUCGGUCGGGAACUAUAAGGGGACUGCCGGUGAUAAACCGGAGGAAGGUGAGGACGACGUCAAGUCAUCAUGGCCCUUACGAGUAGGGCUACACACGUGCUACAAUGGCCGGUACAGAGAGCAGCCACUACGCGAGUAGCGCG
rnacentral:rRNA from 1 species